UACGGGGGGGGCAAGCGUUGUUCGGAAUUACUGGGCGUAAAGGGCUCGUAGGCGGCCAACUAAGUCAGACGUGAAAUCCCUCGGCUUAACCGGGGAACUGCGUCUGAUACUGGAUGGCUUGAGUUUGGGAGAGGGAUGCGGAAUUCCAGGUGUAGCGGUGAAAUGCGUAGAUAUCGAGAGGAACACCUGCGGCGAAGGCGGGUUGCUGGGCUGACACUGACGCUGAUUGUGCGAAAGCUAGGGGAGCGAACGGG
rnacentral:rRNA from 1 species